rnacentral:rRNA from 1 species
UACGGGGGGAGCAAGCGUUGUUCGGAUUUACUGGGCGUAAAGGGCGCGUAGGCGGCCACCGCAAGUCGGUUGUGAAAUCUCUGGGCUUAACCCAGAAAGGUCAAUCGAUACUGCGGGGCUAGAGUGCAGAAGGGGCAACUGGAAUUCUCGGUGUAGCGGUGAAAUGCGUAGAUAUCGAGAGGAACACCUGCGGCGAAGGCGGGUUGCUGGGCUGACACUGACGCUGAAGCGCGAAAGCUAGGGGAGCGAACGGG